rfam:Canis lupus familiaris chromosome 30, whole genome shotgun sequence.
GCCUGGGUGGCUCAGUGGUUGAGCUUCUGCCUUUGACUCAGGUCAUGAUCCUAGGGUCUUGGGAUCAAGUCCCACAUCAGGCU